AAAUAACUAUUCCCUACAUGAAGCAUUUUUCCUCCCACCUCUUCUCUACGAUCCCUAGAUUUAAGGGAAAUUAAUUACUGGCCAGACCAUCAGUCAUUAUCGCUGGACUCUAAGAAACAGGUCAUGUGGAGAUGCCAGAUCCCCGUGCAGACCAGUCUGGACAUAGCUUGAAAACUGGAAAAGAAAAGAUACAGAAUAAAAAGGUCCGUUAAGUGGGAAGAAAAUAAACCUCCAAGAAGAAAAGGUGGGAGAGAAGAGGAAAGAAGCAGAUGCUGAAGACCUAGAUGUUCAAAACAUAACAAGGAGACGUGAGCCCCGUCUGGUAACCUGAAGAGCUGGAUCCAAGCUAAGGAUUUGGAUCACAAGGAUCCAGGAACAUGAGCCAAGAACACACACAUUGUGCUUGGUUCGAACCUGGACAGCGGACCAGAGAAGUAGAAUGUGAAGUAGAAAGAAUCAACAAUGGAAACUGGUAUUAUCAAAGAUCACGGUCUCCUUAUGCCUUUCCCUGUCACACUUAAAGCAGGUUCGUUGUUCAUUUAUUUAAAAAUAAAACAAAAAACUAAUGACUGCAUGCUUGCUACAUGUGUGAAAAAUACGCCAAAAUGAGACAAAAUAAAGUCCAUGUAGUACAAACCAAUCUGAGUUUUGCUUUUCCCUGUAUACCAUUGCCCCCAAGUUAUUAUUCAUUUUCUGCUUAAAUACAUCCAGCAUCAGCCUCCUUUCCAGUUAUUGGUGAUUUCUGUCUAUUGACAGCUAUUUCUUUUGUUCAUUCCAACAUGGCCUCUGCAGGCUUCUACUGGCAGGACUCUAUUCUGAUUCUGGAGCUAUGCAGAGUAAGCCCCUCACUCCGUCAGGUAAAAGAAUUUAAAACAAUUGAAAAGAGCUCCCAGGCCCGUCAUUUAACUCAAGCACCUCACAAAUGCCAAGUGCUUUUCUAAACUCUGACAAUGCGAGGAUGAACAAGAUGGGAUAUGGUCUUCAUGCAAUUUGUAUUGUUGCUCUGGAGAUAAGGAUGUAUCCACAUCACAGGAUGCACUGUCGUCGAGAACUACAGGUUGAGAAAGACAUGCCUUAUAUCUUCCAUUUGGAGAAGGAAACCAUCAAGUGAUUACAGAAAAAAAAAGGAAUAAAACCAAUCAUCAUCGUGGGAAGACCGAAGAU
rnacentral:lncRNA from 1 species